CUGGAGGAAGCAGGAUGCCACUUAGCAGUCUCAGCUAAUUCCUGCUGGGACUGAUGGGGAGGGCCUGGCCCGUGAUAAUAGCCUGGAUUGCUCCUGCAUGCCUGCUGGGGUGUCACAGCACAGAAGACAGGAGAAGAUGAUGUUUUGGGAAACAGCGUGCUGCCUUUGCCUUUGGAGAACGAACCCAGAUACACAGCGGAGUUGAGUUCAGUACUUACACUCACCUAGUGAGCCAGGCUUUGGGUCCAGUGCUUGGAGAGGGUGCUGAGGGGCGAGACGCAGAUUCCAGGAACCUGGCCAAGUGGGAAGUGGCACAAGGGCUCACAACCGAGCCGUUCCCCUGUGCUAUCUUAUUGAACGUCUCCAUGAAUCACCCAUGGGGCAGGCAGACUCAGCCGUGCUCUGGAGGGGUAGGAGACGGAGGCUGCCGGGGCACUGUCACCUGGCACCUGGAGUCACCUACAGGACCCAAAUUCUGUGGGAUUCAAGGUCAGCCUGGGUGCGUGGCAAUAAGGCUGUAAGGAGAAACAUGAGGUGGCCGGAGACGGAGCAUCAGAGACAAGAACUGGAUGGGUCGAGAAGCCUGCCGGCUCGGAGGAACAUGCCCAGAUUGGUGCCCUGGCCCCAGGGGGAGGAUGAGCGACAGACAGAGCAGGACCAGAACGCCCCAGUCGAGCCCAGCCAAGAUCAGCCGACUCUUAGCUGAUCCAGAAUAAAUGGUGGUUGU
rnacentral:lncRNA from 1 species